UCCGCUAUUAGCUUAUAGCCCGUUAGCAUCGCCAGCGUGGUUGCCGCUAAACCCGCAUGCAUCGCUAAUACUCUAUUCACACACAUUACCAUUGCUUUACUCACUGUUACUUGCUUUAAUGGUGGAUGUAUGUCUAUCUUUGAGAGCAGGUGAAGACAUGUUUGAGCUGCAUUCAGUGCAGCUUGAGCUGGAGGCCAUGGAGAAGCAGAUUCGGGUCCUGGAGCAGAGGCAGGCCCAGCUGGCGAGCGGAGAGCCGCGCUGGAAACCUCCCGGGCUGACGCUCAUAAGUCCAUGAUACCCACGAUCCUGAAGGCAGACGAGAGCAACAGAGUGGUCGUGCUUCACGCCGGGGUUAACGAUGCCACACAGUGGCAGACGGAGACACUGAAGAGGGACUUCAGGAGCCUGAUCGAGACGGUGCGCAGCACAACGCCCGCGCUGACGAUCAUCGUGUCAGGACCACUCCCCACAUAUCUAAGAGGACACAAAAGAUAUCUCAGCAGGUUAAGGACGCUCUGCCCAAGCAAUCAGAAGGAGUCUUGCAUGAUAUCAGGUCUUGCUGAUAACAAACAUUGUGGUGAAAGUGGCAGAGAGUGCUACGUGGGUGUAGGCAAGUCACUGAAGGACGGUUCAGUGGUGUAUGGGAGCUGAACAACGCAGCAACAUCACUGUGUGGGAGUGAUCUGAGGUCAGUACGGACCAGCGGAUGACAGCAAGGGACUUGAGCUGUUAGGAAACACCCAUAUGACCACUGCAGAAAAACUACACGACCAACUCGACAAGUGACGCAACAGAAAACAUGGGCUGUCUGCUUAACACUUUUACACACAGAGGCCUACCACAAUAGCUGCCUAUGUGGCUGACAACGAAGGUACCAGUGUGCUGGAAGACUGGUAUUGGCUGUGUGGACACCUGAACACCUUCAUAGCAACACCAGAAAUCCUCUGAAAAGAGCCAAGAGAGAGAUAAAAAAUAAAGUUUCCUGACUGAAAGACCGAGCAGGACAAUCAAGUUGGGCAAGAGACAAUUAUGUUCUGAGGGAACACAGGCUGUGGAAUGGAGCGGAGAAGUUCUUCCAUGCUGUGAUGAUGGAAGGCGGCAAGGAGGAACUACGAGGGUUGAAGCUGACUGCACUGCAAAACGAACCUGUUCUGGACCAGCUCACCGCAUCUUCUGAGGGGGUGUGUGCAAUUGUGGGGUCUGCGUGUUGCACUUACAUUCCUGACAAUGAUGCUGAUGGCCGCAUGAUAGAUGAGGGUAUUAAGAACAUAACUAAUGCAAUUAACAGGUUGACGGUUAGAGAAGUAAAUGCUGAUGAUGUGUGGGGAUGGAAUUGGUUUAAGGGUUUAUGGCAGAAAGCAGAAUACAUUGGGUUAAUUGCUGUUUCAGCACUGGCCAUGAUUUUAUUUUUGCUGUGUAUGUGGCCUUGUGUAGUGGGAAUGAUUAGAAGAGCUGUACAUUCAACCAUGAAAUCUUCAGUAGUUCAUCAGAUGGUAAUGUACAAUGUCUUGUGUGAAAGUAAGAAUAAUGUGAGUGUUUCUGAUGAAAAUGAUGAAGACAAUGAGAUGCUAAAAUCUGGCCCCUGCAGCACCUCUACAGAAGAAGAGUAGCAAGUAAGCAUUGCAUGCUAUAGAAUAAAAAGGGGCUAAGGCAGGUCAUUGUCCCUGUUAUGAGAUGAUGCAACCUGAAGGAAAGAUAAGAAAGUUUCUUCUGUUUGAAUAUCACACUAAGAUUUUUACAAUCUUAUGUACAAUCAAAUAUAAGAGUUUUUUCUUUUUCUUUUUUUAAUCAAAUAUAAGAGUUGUUUGUUUUCUUUAUAGCUUUCUUAUAUGUCAGGAAUGACUAUGUUCCAUAAAAAACAAUGCCUCAUGAGAGUGAUGGUGUUUUAAAUCCUAGUGAAUUUACAUGAUUGAUGUAAACUAUAAGGGUAAUGUGUUUAAACAUUUUUUAUCUACAUUAAUCAAUAUAAGUGAUCAAUAAUGAUCAAAAAGGAGGAGUGUUAUGGAAUUUUUUUAUUUUGUUAAUUUUGCAUUGAUUGCAUUCAUCUCAUUUAAGUAUCUUUUUAAACAUACAAUGAUCAAGGUAUUAUAUAGUCCAUAGGGACAUUGAGUUUUUAUGUAACUUGUGCACGUAACUGCUUUAGGUUGAAAAACAACAUACUGUAUAAGGGGAAACUGUGUAACAGGGAUGGGCAGUUUUGAGAGUAACCAGAUAUUUACCAUGUAAUGUGCAUGUGUUAUGGGGUGAUGUGCACUAAGCAACAUGAUUGGCUCAAAGGUCCUAAUCUGUCCUUCAAUGUAUCUUUUUACAUACUAUAAAAAGUGGGCUGUGAGUCUGUGUGUUAUC